GCUGUGGGGUCUACUGAGUUCCUACAAUGCUGAGUCCGCACAGAGGUUGCUACCUUGUGCUGUGUUAGAACUCCUAUUGUUGUAUGUGUGAUAUAUGUCUAUGUGCUUUUGAAAAGUUAGGCCUAUCUGUAUUUUAAUUUCCUUUAUCUAUUUUUGGGGGGGGGAAUAUUUUCAAAGCUUCAGCCUUUACAAACAGAAAUAAUCUUUCCAAAAAUAAGAAGUGUUAUUUAGCUUCUGGCAAAGCUCGGGACAAAUUGGAACUGUGUGUGGGUCAAUCUGCAGUCACAUUCAAGUAUAUCUGGCAUCUGGGUUGAUGACUUACAACUCGUUCAACCAAACUGAAAGUUGCUACAGACUCCAAGUUGUCUUGUUGCUGAGUUACACAUAAUACAUUUGUUUUGGCAACUUAGUUUACCUCAUGGGAGAAAUAGUACAGUUUUAUUAGACUUCUAGAAUAGGAAUGUGUGCAAGAAGACUUUGGCUAUAAUGAACAAAACAAUAUCUUGAUAACUAAUCUCUACUGACUGGUUUGCUGUUUUAUAUUAAGUAUGUAAUUCAAUUCAGAUUUGCCAGUGAAAUUAUUAUUAGCCCCUGUUCCUCACCACAUCUUCUGUGCUACAUCUGGGUAUCUUUCAGCUUUUCUGAAAGACGGUUUUAUAUAAAUUCACAAUGGCUUAAAACUGGACAGAAGUUUAAUUUUUAUUCCAUGGAUUGAACCUAUUUGGAGAGCUUU
rnacentral:lncRNA from 1 species